rnacentral:rRNA from 1 species
GAUGAACGCUGGCGGCGUGCCUAAUACAUGCAAGUCGAGCGAACGGACGAGAAGCUUGCUUCUCUGAUGUUAGCGGCGGACGGGUGAGUAACACGUGGAUAACCUACCUAUAAGACUGGGAUAACUUCGGGAAACCGGAGCUAAUACCGGAUGAUAUUUUGAACCGCAUGGUUCAAAAGUGAAAGACGGUCUUGCUGUCACUUAUAGAUGGAUCCGCGCUGCAUUAGCUAGUUGGUAAGGUAAUGGCUUACCAAGGCAACGAUGCAUAGCCGACCUGAGAGGGUGAUCGGCCACACUGGAACUGAGACACGGUCCAGACUCCUACGGGAGGCAGCAGUAGGGAAUCUUCGGCAAUGGGCGAAAGCCUGACGGAGCAACGCCGCGUGAGUGAUGAAGGUCUUCGGAUCGUAAAACUCUGUUAUUAGGGAAGAACAGAUGUGUAAGUAACUGUGCACAUCUUGACGGUACCUUAUCAGAAAGCCCCGGCUAACUACGUG